UACGUAGGGUGCGAGCGUUAAUCGGAAUUACUGGGCGUAAAGCGUGCGCAGGCGGUUCGUUGUGUCGGCGGUGAAAGCCCCGGGCUUAACCUGGGAAUGGCCGUUGAAACUGGCGAACUGGAGUGUGGCAGAGGGGGGUGGAAUUCCCGGUGUAGCAGUGAAAUGCGUAGAGAUCGGGAGGAACACCAGUGGCGAAGGCGGCUACCUGGACCAGCACUGACACUGAAGCACGAAAGCGUGGGGAGCAAACAGG
rnacentral:rRNA from 1 species